rnacentral:lncRNA from 1 species
ACAGCAGCUGGCAGAGUGAGGAAGCAGCGGUCUCGGGAGUCCCAGCCCGAAGGCAGAUUUCCUGGCCACAAAAGCACCAACGGACAAGACUCCACCAACGGUGCCCCUUGGAUGGUGGAGUCCAGCUGCCAAGCUCACUCAGGGGACAGUGGCUCUUUUCUCAGUCACUCAUCAUGGCACUAGGGAUUAAGUGCAUUUAAUAACACCCCCACUCUGCAUUUAAUAACCCUCCAAAACCCAAAUGACUCUCCUGCACAUUGAAGCUGCUUAAACCAUUGACUGUGAUCAACUGCUAUAGCAACUGCCUAACAGUCUGGAGGGGUGUGCACAGGGAAAACACCUCAACUACCACACAUUACGUGUUCUUGCUGAGAGAGAGAAGGAAGGGACGUGAGUUCAAGGCUCCCUUUGCUCCUCGCAGAUGGUACUUUUCAAUGUAAAAUAUGCCAAGACGAAUGUGGAGCUCAAGCUACUGGGACAGCGAAUAAAGAUGCCGGGAAAAGGAGGAAAGAGAUUUCACAUGGGCAACGGUUGACAAGUCUUUCUUGUUUGUGGCUUGCAGUGAGCAGUGGACAGGCAUUCUCAGAUCAGGUCAGAGAGCAAGUCAUCAAUGGGGGCAAAUUCCAGUCGGGUCUUUCAACUGACCGUUUUGUUCAAUGAAUGUCACACUGUAACAGGAUAAUUGGAGGGUUUGGGUAAGCUGGUGAGGGAAUAAGGGCUUUU